rnacentral:rRNA from 1 species
CAGCAGCCGCGGUAAUACGGAGGGUGCAAGCGUUAAUCGGAAUUACUGGGCGUAAAGCGUGCGUAGGCGGCUUCUUAAGUCGGAUGUGAAAUCCCUGAGCUUAACUUAGGAAUUGCAUUCGAUACUGGGAAGCUAGAGUAUGGGAGAGGAUGGUAGAAUUCCAGGUGUAGCGGUGAAAUGCGUAGAGAUCUGGAGGAAUACCGAUGGCGAAGGCAGCCAUCUGGCCUAAUACUGACGCUGAGGUACGAAAGCAUGGGGAGCAAACAGGAUUAGAGACCCCUGUAGUCCCUGUCUCUUAUAC